UAGGGAAUCUUCGGCAAUGGACGAAAGUCUGACCGAGCAACGCCGCGUGAGUGAAGAAGGUUUUCGGAUCGUAAAACUCUGUUGUUAGAGAAGAACAAGGACGUUAGUAACUGAACGUCCCCUGACGGUAUCUAACCAGAAAGCCACGGCUAACUACGUGCCAGCAGCCGCGGUAAUACGUAGGUGGCAAGCGUUGUCCGGAUUUAUUGGGCGUAAAGCGAGCGCAGGCGGUUUCUUAAGUCUGAUGUGAAAGCCCCCGGCUCAACCGGGGAGGGUCAUUGGAAACUGGGUGACUUGAGUGAGGAAGAGGAGAGUGGAAUUCCAUGUGGAGCGGUGAAAUGCGUAGAUAUAUGGAGAAACACCAGUGGCGAAGGCGGCUCUCUGGUCUGUAACUGACGCUGAGGCUCGAAAGCGUGGGGAGCAAACAGG
rnacentral:rRNA from 1 species